GUCUAUCCGAGGCAUCGGGUAGGCGUCCGACACGGUUUUGUCGUUCAACCUCCGGUAGUCCACGCAGAACCGAGUGGUACCGUCUUUCUUGGGAACCAGGACUACCGGUGAUGCCCAGGGGCUGAGUGUUCGAUAACCCCCAACUGCAACAUCUCUUCAAUUUCCUUCCUCAUAUGUUCCCGCACGGAUUCAGGAAUCCGAUAUGGGGUCUGUCACAUGGGAAGCUGUCCCGGGGUUUCCACUCGGUGGGUG